rnacentral:rRNA from 1 species
GCGUUGCGGCAGCUUUACACAUGCAGUCGAACGAUGAACCACUUCGGUGGGGAUUAGUGGCGAACGGGUGAGUAACACGUGGGCAAUCUGCCCUGCACUCUGGGACAAGCCCUGGAAACGGGGUCUAAUACCGGAUACUGAUCCUCGCAGGCAUCUGCGAGGUUCGAAAGCUCCGGCGGUGCAGGAUGAGCCCGCGGCCUAUCAGCUAGUUGGUGAGGUAACGGCUCACCAAGGCGACGACGGGUAGCCGGCCUGAGAGGGCGACCGGCCACACUGGGACUGAGACACGGCCCAGACUCCUACGGGAGGCAGCAGUGGGGAAUAUUGCGCAAUGGGCGAAAGCCUGAUGCAUAGACC